UACGGGGGGGGCAAGCGUUGUUCGGAAUUACUGGGCGUAAAGGGCUCGUAGGCGGCCAACUAAGUCGGAUGUGAAAUCCCCAGGCUUAACCUGGGAACUGCAUCCGAUACUGGAUGGCUUGAAUCCGGGAGAGGGAUGCGGAAUUCCAGGUGUAGCGGUGAAAUGCGUAGAUAUCUGGAGGAACACCGGUAGCGAAGGCGGCAUCCUGGACCGGCAUUGACGCUGAGGAGCGAAAGCCAGGGGAGCAAACGGG
rnacentral:rRNA from 1 species